UUUAUGAAACAGAUGUUCCUGAUUUUGUUUUUCUAGCAUACUGUACAGGAUGAAAGAGAAAUAUUUCGUUAUCCGGAUUGUUAUUUAUUCAUAAAUUUGUUUUAAAUGCCGUUUGGUGAACAAUAGCAUUGUUGGUGAUAUGCUUCCAGUGAGACAAUCUUUUCCAUUCACUGCAAUUAUGUUGGUGAGAGUGAGUAGGGGUUUAUAAUGCGAAUCGGACUAAGAAAUACUACACAAGAUUAUCAAAUUUUCAUUAACACCACAAGACCCUUUCGAAUGAACAAUGCAGAAUCCACGGCUCCAUACUUUGAAAUGACUAAACAUGAACUACUAUUGGAACUUAUGUACCAUGUGCAGGAAACUCUUUUACCACUUCUAUACACCACUUUCCUCGAAUAAUGGAACUAUUUAACCCAUUAGAAUUGAUGAAGCGUUUAACACAGGAAAUAUAGCCUGAAGUACUACUGGAAGUUAGAAAACGCUGUCAAAGAGCAGAGACAGUUUAGAAGGGAGUUGCAAUCACAGCCAUCCAGCCGACUUACUAUCACUGGAAUUAGAGAUAAGUUUGAAGUUGAUGGAACUAUUGAGAAUGUUCACAGGAAUCGUUCUAGAAGACUGCGAUAUCGAUAAACCCCACAAAGCAAGAAAUAACAGCUAUUAAACGAGUAUGUGCACAAAUUCCGAACGAAAUGUUUCUUGGUGUUUGUGAUUCCAUUACUUUACGUUAUCAGUAGUGCAUUCACCAGACUGGUUUUCAGUUUGAA